rnacentral:rRNA from 1 species
UACAGAGGGUGCAAGCGUUAAUCGGAAUUACUGGGCGUAAAGCGUGCGCAGGCGGUUUUGUAAGUCUGUCGUGAAAGCCCCGGGCUUAACCUGGGAAUUGCGAUGGAGACUGCAAGGCUUGAAUCUGGCAGAGGGGGGUAGAAUUCCACGUGUAGCAGUGAAAUGCGUAGAGAUGUGGAGGAACACCGAUGGCGAAGGCGGCAUCCUGGACCGGCAUUGACGCUGAGUGAGCGAAAGCCAGGGGAGCAAACGGG